rnacentral:rRNA from 1 species
AGGACGAACGCUGGCGGCGUGCCUAACACAUGCAAGUCGAGCGGUAACAGGUGUAGCAAUACAUGCUGACGAGCGGCGAACGGGUGAGUAAUGCUUUGGAAUCUUCCCAGUAGUGGGGAAUAACCAGUCGAAAGAUUGGCUAAUACCGCAUACGUCUGUAAAGGGAAAGCGGGGGCUCGUAAGACCUCGCGCUAUUGGAUGAGCCAAAGUCGGAUUAGCUAGUUGGUGGGGUAAUGGCCUACCAAGGCGACAAUCCGUAGCUGGUCUGAGAGGACGACCAGCCACACCGGAACUGAGACACGGUCCGGACUCCUACGGGAGGCAGCAGUGGGGAAUAUUGGACAAUGGGGGAAACCCUGAUCCAGCGACGCCGCGUGUGUGAAGAAGGCCUGCGGGUUGUAAAGCACUUUUAGUGGGACAAAAAGCUACGGAUUAAUACUCUGUGGUCUUGAUUUAACCCAAGAAAAGCACCGGCUAACUACGUGCCAGCAGCCGC